GGUUGACCUCGGAUCAGGUAGGAGUUACCCGCUGAACUUAAGCAUAUCAAUAAGCGGAGGAAAAGAAACCAACAGGGAUUGCCUCAGUAACGGCGAGUGAAGCGGCAAGAGCUCAAAUUUGAAAUCUGGCCCCUUGGGGUCCGAGUUGUAAUUUGCAGAGGAUGCUUCGGGAGCGGUCCCCAUCUAAGUGCCCUGGAACGGGACGUCAUAGAGGGUGAG
rnacentral:rRNA from 1 species